GUCUCAGUGGCGUGGUGGUUAACGCACGGCCCGGUUAGACCCGAGGCAUGGGUUCGAAUCCCAUCUGAGAAG
rnacentral:tRNA from 1 species